GGUUGUAUAGCUUAGAGGUAGAGCACUCGCCUAGUAUGCAAGAGGCACUGGGUUCAAUCCUCAGCACCACAU
rnacentral:tRNA from 1 species